rnacentral:lncRNA from 1 species
AUUUAAACAGUUUUUAUUGGGUCUAUAAACCAUUGUGGUACUCAUUCGGUCCAUAAACCUGGUGUGCACACAGGAUUACCUGAGGCUUGUAAGGGAGAAUGCCAACUAAUGGUUACUGAAUCCACCACCUGCAGAAUAACUUUGGAAAAGCAGCUUGUUCCAUCAGAGUCAAGACACGAGAACACCAUCUUUUCAUAAAGACAUGGAAUCUGAUCUGACUGGUCAUCUAAGGGCACCAGAUAUACGACUAAAAAUGUUCAUAUUCAUCACCUAAGGAAGGUCUUUCUUCUGAUUUCUUGCAUUUGAGAGAAGUGGCUGUCACAAUGACUUCUGGAGGUACUUUAGAGGUCCCUCAAGGACUGUUGAAUACAGAAGAGGAGCAGUUUCACCAACACAACUAUCUUCAUUUAUUAUUUUUUCUUCUCUCUUUUUAAAAAAAUUACAAUGAUUCAAGAGAUUUUAUUUUAAAAAUGGCUUCUGCUAACUUAAACAUGGUUUGAGCCGGGUGUGGUGGUUGACACCUGUAAUCCCAGCACUUUGGGAGGCUGAGGUGGGCAGAUCACUUGAGGUCAGGAGUUCGAGACCAGCCUGGCCAACAUGGUGAAACCCCAUCUCUACUAAAAAAUACAAAAGUUAUCUGGGCAUGGUGGCAGGUGCCUAUAAUCCCAACUACUUGGAAGGCUGAGGCAUGAGAAUCGCUUGAACCCGGGAGGUGGAGGUUGCAGAGAGCCGAGAUCACACCACUGCACUCCAGACUGGGCAACACAAUGAGAAUGCCAAAAAAUAGUUUUGAAAAUAAUAUAACUACCAUAGAUUUUGCUUUAUUUUACUAGAUGAUUUUUGUACCUGGUAGGCUAUUGAUGAACUAUGACAUUAAUAACCAAGUAUAUUAAAAAACAAACAAAUGAAAACAAAGUUAAAAUGUAAGCUUGACAUCACUGGCUAUAAAAAUUCUCCUGGAGAAGAUGAUCAGAAUUGAAGCCUUUUAACUUUUCGGUGGACUAUAGGGACAGUAGCAGGAGAUCAGCUACAUAUCCCAGAAGCAAUGUUUCUUCCAGGUCAGUAUCAUGUCAUUCACAAGUGAAAAAAUAAACACUAAAAAUAAAUAGAAGUUCUAUAACAGAGACAGGAAAGGGACUCUCCUUGCUGUCUCCUGUCUACAUGUCCUUUUAGCCUUAACACCUUCCAAAGGAAGGAGAAAAAUAGCUUUGCAGGUUUGCAAAUGUGUGUAGUUAGCAUUUUAAGAACAAAAACGGGCUGCCUCUCACAGCUGUGUUGGAAUUUGCUUCAGAUUCUGCCUUCAAAUCACAGAAGACGUGAGUAAGGGCACGUCCGUGACUCAGUCCUCAACCCUUGCCAAAGUAGUAGUUUUCUAGAUAUAAAACUACAGGGAAAGAAAAAUAGAAAGUCAGAAGAGGAAGAAAAACUGCAUGUUCAUAAAUCUUGCACAAAACUGAAUCUCGAAGGUGUGAUAAAAAGAUCAGGAUCGGGGAGUGUUUAGGAAAGAGAAACACACAUAUGUGAGGCACUACCUAACAUUUCAAUAGACACAUGGUUUUUUUUUUCAGUCAUAUUAAUUAAGUUCUGUGCACGGUGCUUGCACAUAAAUAAAACCAGAUGCUUAAAUUGUAGCUCAAUCAUUACGCUGUAUUUGCUCACAUCCCCUCCUGUACCACUUUCAAGAAAUUGGCUUUUCGCCUAAAUGGCAGGGGAGGGAAAGGGAAAAAAAGAAGAAAAAAAAGUUCUGGAGCUUUAGCCUUAUUCUCAGGUUGAUGAGUGGUUGUUGAUAUGUGACAAAUACAUUUCGCUUUCAUGACAUCUCUAUGGAAAAUUAAGAAUUGUAGUUUUCUUGAGGCAGUUGAGAUUCUUAAAGGAGUAUUUAUUCAUCAUGCUAUUAAUUUAUUGGCCUUCAUAAAAACUCUUUCAAAAUUGUCACCUAUCUAUAAAUAAGACUUAAAACCCACCCUCGGCUACAUAGAUACACACAAACACAAACACACAGAUGUAUGUGUGUGAAUUUAUAAAAUAACCUGUCAAUACAUAUGGAGAAAAUAGUUUCACGGAAUCAAAGUUAUCUGGUUCACCUCCUUUAAGUGCAUUUCCCAAUGUGAGUUCUGAAGCAUAUUUGUUCCACGACAUGUGAAAAACUGAGGGGCUUAAAUAAAUUGGGAAAUGCCGGGUUACACAAAGUUAAACAGCUUUCUUUAUUGUGGAACUUUCAGAGUCUCUAAUAUGCUGAUGCACAUUGUAAAUAUUCAAGAGGUCAACAUACUCUGUAAUAUCUCUCAAAGCUGGUUGACCCAGAAACUUGCAAAAUAUCUUACAAGGGUGGUAAUUUGCAGGACAUGCAGUGAAAAAUGCUAAUAUAAAUCAAUCUAAAAUGUUCAUCCAGUCUCUGAUUAAAUUUUCCCCAUGUGAACAAAAUUGCUACUUUCCAAAAGAGUUCAUUCUGUCCUACGAAAGAUCUAAGUCAAACGGGAUUUCUUUCUUACGCUGAACCAUAAUCUAUCUCUCUAUAACUUCCACUAUUGCUCUUGAUUUUGCACUUUGGAAGAACAAAAAGAAGAGUAAUGCAAUUCCUUUUUCCUGCAAUAGCUUUUUAGAUAUUUGAAAGCGACAAUCAUAUUCACAAACUCUUCCAUUUUGCAGGAAGACACAGCUCUAGUUCUUAAAUGAAUGCAUCAAAUUAAUCCUCUCUACUUGUCAAUGUCUUAAGACAUGGGGCUUCAAAAUGAUUACAGAAAUUCAGAUCUCUAGAAGUAUCUAUGCUUCUAUAGAUGCAGACUUAGAUGUCAGGUUUUGUUUUUUUCUGGAAGGCAUGUCUUAUCAUUGAUUCCAAUUAAUUUACUAAAACUUUCGAGUCCUCAUAAAUAUUGUGGCUAAGUCAAUUCUCUACAGUUCUAUAUCUGUAUGAUCAUUUGUUUGUGUAUAUAUGAGUUUUUUGAGGAAUAUUAGGAAAACACAAGUCCAUUAGAUUUUAUUCGUCCUUCAUGACAGAGACUGUGCUUUAUAAUAAAAUUGGUCAUCUUUUCUCAGUUACCUUCUCUUAUAAAGUUAUAAUAUCUCAGCUUCAUGCAAAUUCUAUUACAUUAGAAGAAUGAAGAGUAUUAGCCUGAAACUUACUACCUAUACUAGUGACCUCCUUCCAGCUUAAUACCAAUUCAUUACUUGAUACCAAGUAAAUUGUUUCACAAACCUACA